CCUACGGGAGGCAGCAGUGAGGAAUAUUGGUCAAUGGACGGAAGUCUGAACCAGCCAUGCCGCGUGCAGGAAGACGGCUCUAUGAGUUGUAAACUGCUUUUGUACAAGGGUAAACCUGAAUACGUGUAUUCAGCUGAAAGUACUGUACGAAUAAGGAUCGGCUAACUCCGUGCCAGCAGCCGCGGUAAUACGGAGGAUCCAAGCGUUAUCCGGAUUUAUUGGGUUUAAAGGGUGCGUAGGCGGAUUGAUAAGUUAGAGGUGAAAUGUCCGAGCUUAACUCGGGAACUGCCUCUAAUACUGUUGAUCUGGAGAGUAGAUGCGGUAGGCGGAAUGUAUGGGGUAGCGGUGAAAUGCUUAGAGAUCAUACAGAACACCGAUUGCGAAGGCAGCUUACUAAACUGCAACUGACAUUGAGGCUCGAAAGUGUGGGGAUCAAACAGGAUUAGAUACCCUUGUAGUC
rnacentral:rRNA from 1 species